AGUAGGGAUCUUCCGCAUGGACGCAAGUCUGACGGAGCAACGCCGCGUGAGUGACGAAGGUUUUCGGAUCGUAAAACUCUGUUGUGAGGGAAGAACAAGUACCAACUAACUACUGGUACCUUGACGGUACCUCACCAGAAAGCCACGGCUAACUACGUGCCAGCAGCCGCGGUAAUACGUAGGUGGCAAGCGUUGUCCGGAAUUAUUGGGCGUAAAGCGCGCGCAGGCGGUCCCUUAAGUCUGAUGUGAAAGCCCACGGCUCAACCGUGGAGGGUCAUUGGAAACUGGGGGACUUGAGUGCAGAAGAGGAAAGUGGAAUUCCACGUGUAGCGGUGAAAUGCGUAGAGAUGUGGAGGAACACCAGUGGCGAAGGCGACUUUCUGGUCUGUAACUGACGCUGAGGCGCGAAAGCGUGGGGAGCAAACAGGAUUAGAUACCCUGGUAGUCCACGCCGUAAACGAUGAGUGCUAAGUGUUAGGGGGUUUCCGCCCCUUAGUGCUGCAGCUAACGCAUUAAGCACUCCGCCUGGGGAGUACGGCCGCAAGGCUGAAACUCAAAGGAAUUGACGGGGGCCCGCACAAGAA
rnacentral:rRNA from 1 species